AAAUUGAAGAGUUUGAUCAUGGCUCAGAUUGAACGCUGGCGGCAGGCCUAACACAUGCAAGUCGAACGGUAACAGGAAGAAGCUUGCUUCUUUGCUGACGAGUGGCGGACGGGUGAGUAACGUCUGGGAAACUGCCUGAUGGAGGGGGAUAACUACUGGAAACGGUAGCUAAUACCGCAUAACGUCGCAAGACCAAAGAGGGGGACCUUCGGGCCUCUUGCCAUCGGAUGUGCCCAGAUGGGAUUAGCUAGUAGGUGGGGUAACGGCUCACCUAGGCGACGAUCCCUAGCUGGUCUGAGAGGAUGACCAGCCACACUGGAACUGAGACACGGUCCAGACUCCUACGGGAGGCAGCAGUGGGGAAUAUUGCACAAUGGGCGCAAGCCUGAUGCAGCCAUGCCGCGUGUAUGAAGAAGGCCUUCGGGUUGUAAAGUACUUUCAGCGGGGAGGAAGGGAGUAAAGUUAAUACCUUU
rnacentral:rRNA from 1 species